rnacentral:rRNA from 1 species
UACGUAGGGGGCAAGCGUGGUCCGGAAUCAUUGGGCGUAAAGAGCGUGUAGGCGGCCCGGUAAGUCCGCUGUGAAAGUCGGGGGCUCAACCCUCGAAUGCCGGUGGAUACUGUCGGGCUAGAGUGCGGAAGAGGCGAGUGGAAUUCCUGGUGUAGCGGUGAAAUGCGUAGAUAUCAGGAGGAACACCUGUGGUGUAGACAGCUUACUGGACCACUUCUGACGCUGAGACACGAAAGCGUGGGUAGCAAACAGG